AGUAGGUGGCCAGUUAGCUCAGUUGGUAGAGCGGGCACCCAUAUGUAGAGGAUUAUUCCUCGACGCAGAAGGUCCAGGGUUUGUGUCAGACCUGUGAUGGUUUUCUACAUGUCUCCCCCCUCUUUCUCCUCUUUGAUAUCUGACCUUUCCUCCCUAAUACAG